GCAUCAGUGGUUCAGGGGUAGAAUUUUCAUCUUCCACUUGGGAGACCUGGGUUCGAUUUCUAGCCCAUGUA
rnacentral:tRNA from 1 species